rnacentral:rRNA from 1 species
GACGAACGCUGGCGGCGUGCUUAACACAUGCAAGUCGAACGGAAAGGCCCUGCUUUUGUGGGGUGCUCGAGUGGCGAACGGGUGAGUAACACGUGAGUAACCUGCCCUUGACUUUGGGAUAACUUCAGGAAACUGGGGCUAAUACCGGAUAGGAGCUCCUGCUGCAUGGUGGGGGUUGGAAAGUUUCGGCUGUUGGGGAUGGACUCGCGGCUUAUUAGCUUGUUGGUGGGGUAGUGGCUUACCAAGGCUUUGACGGGUAGCCGGCCUGGGAGGGUGAACGGGCACAAUGGGCCUAAGAUACGGCGCAGACUCCUACGGGAGGCAGCAGUGGGGAAUAUUGCACAAUGGGCGGAAGCCUGAUGCAGCAACGCCGCGUGCGGGAUGACGGCCUUCGGGUUGUAAACCGCUUUCGCCUGUGACGAAGCGGGAGUGACGGUAAUGGGUAAAGAAGCACCGGCUAACUACGUG